AAUCUUGGAUACUGCAGGAACGG
rnacentral:piRNA from 1 species